UCGAACUUGGAGAUAGCUGGUUCUCUCCGAAAUAGCUUUAGGGCUAGCCUCGAGGUAAAGAGUCAUGGAGGUAGAGCACUGUUUGGACUAGGGGCCCUUCUCGGGUUACCGAAUUCAGAUAAACUCCGAAUGCCAUGUACUUAUACUCGGGAGUCAGACUGCGAGUGAUAAGAUCCGUAGUCGAAAGGGAAACAGCCCAGACCACCAGUUAAGGUCCCCAAAUAUAUGUUAAGUGGAAAAGGAUGUGGGGUUGCUUAGACAACCAGGAUGUUGGCUUAGAAGCAGCCACCAUUGAAAGAGUGCGUAAUAGCUCACUGGUCGAGUGACCCCGCGCCGAAAAUGUACCGGGGCUAAACAUAUUACCGAAACUGUGGAUGAACCUCUUUAGAGGUUCGUGGUAGGAGAGCGUUCUAAGGGCGGUGAAGUCAGACCGGAAGGACUGGUGGAGCGCUUAGAAGUGAGAAUGCCGGUAUGAGUAGCGAAAGAAGGGUGAGAAUCCCUUCCACCGAAUAUCUAAGGUUUCCUGAGGAAGGCUCGUCCGCUCAGGGUUAGUCGGGACCUAAGCCGAGGCCGAUAGGCGUAGGCGAUGGACAACAGGUAGAGAUUCCUGUACCAGUGCUAAUUGUUUAACCGAUGGGGUGACACAGAAGGAUAGGGAAUCGCACGAAUGGAAAUGUGCGUCCAAGCAGUGAGUGUGAGAAGUAGGCAAAUCCGCUUCUCGCGAAGCAUGAGCUGUGAUGGGGAAGGAAAUUAAGUACGGAAGUUCCUGAUUUCACGCUGUCAAGAAAAGCCUCUAGGAAGAGUAGUACUGCCCGUACCGCAAACCGACACAGGUAGAUGAGGAGAGAAUCCUAAGGUGAGCGAGAGAACUCUCGUUAAGGAACUCGGCAAAAUGACCCCGUAACUUCGGGAGAAGGGGUGCUCUAUUAGGGUGCAAGCCCGAGAGAGCCGCAGUGAAUAGGCCCAGGCGACUGUUUAGCAAAAACACAGGUCUCUGCAAAACCGUAAGGUGACGUAUAGGGGCUGACGCCUGCCCGGUGCUGGAAGGUUAAGAGGAGUGCUUAGCUUCGGCGAAGGUACGAAUUGAAGCCCCAGUAAACGGCGGCCGUAACUAUAACGGUCCUAAGGUAGCGAAAUUCCUUGUCGGGUAAGUUCCGACCCGCACGAAAGGCGCAACGAUCUGGGCACUGUCUCAACGAGAGACUCGGUGAAAUUAUAGUACCUGUGAAGAUGCAGGUUACCCGCGACAGGACGGAAAGACCCCGUGGAGCUUUACUGCAACCUGAUAUGGAAUGUUUGUACCGCUUGUACAGGAUAGGUAGGAGCCGAAGAGACGUGUGCGCUAGCAUACGAGGAGGCAAUGGUGGGAUACUACCCUGGCUGUAUGACCAUUCUAACCCGCCACGCUUAGCGCGUGGGGAGACAGUGUCAGGUGGGCAGUUUGACUGGGGCGGUCGCCUCCUAAAGAGUAACGGAGGCGCCCAAAGGUUCCCUCAGAAUGGAUGGAAAUCAUUCGCAGAGUGUAAAGGCACAAGGGAGCUUGACUGCGAGACUGACAAGUCGAGCAGGGACGAAAGUCGGGCUUAGUGAUCCGGUGGUUCCGCAUGGAAGGGCCAUCGCUCAACGGAUAAAAGCUACCCCGGGGAUAACAGGCUUAUCUCCCCCAAGAGUCCACAUCGACGGGGAGGUUUGGCACCUCGAUGUCGGCUCGUCGCAUCCUGGGGCUGUAGUCGGUCCCAAGGGUUGGGCUGUUCGCCCAUUAAAGCGGCACGCGAGCUGGGUUCAGAACGUCGUGAGACAGUUCGGUCCCUAUCCGUCGCGGGCGCAGGAAAUUUGAGAGGAGCUGUCCUUAGUACGAGAGGACCGGGAUGGACACACCGCUGGUGUACCAGUUGUUCCGCCAGGAGCAUCGCUGGGUAGCUAUGUGUGGCAGGGAUAAACGCUGAAAGCAUCUAAGCGUGAAGCCCCCCUCAAGAUGAGAUUUCCCAUUUCUUCGGAAAGUAAGAUCCCUGAAAGAUGAUCAGGUAGAUAGGUUUGGAGUGGAAGUGUAGCGAUACAUGGAGCGGACAAAUACUAAUCGAUCGAGGACUUAACCAAAA
rnacentral:rRNA from 1 species